rnacentral:rRNA from 1 species
UAUCGAAAUCGUGGGCGAGGGUUGUCGCUGGCCUCUCGGGGCACGUGCACGCCCGAGCCGAUUGAAUUCCAAACACACCUGUGAACCCACCGUAGGCCUUCGGGCCUAUGUCUUAUCAUAUAAUCCGAAUGUCUAAUAGAAUGUAAACCCAUUUCGUUGCCUUGAAAACGUAACGAAAGAAAACUAUACAACUUUCAACAACGGAUCUCUUGGCUCUCGCAUCGAUGAAGAACGCAGCGAAAUGCGAUAAGUAAUGUGAAUUGCAGAUUUUCAGUGAAUCAUCGAAUCUUUGAACGCACCUUGCGCCCCUUGGUAUUCCGAGGGGCAUGCCUGUUUGAGUGUCAUUAAAUCCUCAACCCCCCCGAUUCGUUUCGGCGGGGAUUGGACUUGGAGCGUGCUGGCGAAGGUCGGCUCCUCUUUAAAUGCAUCAGCGGAGAAAAUGCCUUUUGCGCCUCUGGCCGUCCAGCGUGAUAAUGACGUUGCGCUGCGGUCGAGCUUAAGGUCCGCUUCCAAAGGUCCUUCGGACGAUACGUAAUGACUUUUGACCUCAAAUCAGGUAGGACUACCCGCUGAACUUAAGCA